rnacentral:rRNA from 1 species
GUCUACGGCCAUACUACCUUGAACAAGCCCAAUCCCGUCUGAUCUCGGGAGCUAAGUAGGGUAGGGCCUGGUUAGUACUUGGAUGGGAGACCACCUACGAAGACCAGGUACUGUAGGCG